AUUUAAUCGAAACAUUAAAUAUUGGGAAAGAAAAAGAAACUCAAACAAGCCGAUAAAACAUUUGAAAAAACAAUUAAACAUUGAAAAGACAAAACAUUUGGAAAUCAAAUCAGACAUUAGAAAAGAAUAAAAGGUGAGAAAAGAGCAAAACUAAACAUUUAAGAAGAAUCAAACUAAAGACAAAACAUUUGAAAAGAUACCAGUUAGACUUUAGAAGAUCAAAUUAAACAGAAGAGACAAUAAAACUAUCAAAAAGAGCAAAAACAGAUAAAAGUCUUAAAGGGUUUUCUAGUCUGAAAUGAAAACAUCAAGUUGUUUCUUCAAACAUUUUCUCUUUCUAUGUUCUUGGUUUGAUUGUGGAUAGAUUUACUAAGAACUCAUUUCAGAAAACUGCUUUCCAGAUAAAGUCUACUAGUAGUUGAAGGUAUUUAUCAAACUAAUGUUACCUUCUGAUCUCUACAAACUUUACUGUUCAGUGAAGAGAAUCAAAGUUUGUUGAGGAUUUCUAAAAAACCCACAGGUGAAGGUCUGAGAAGAACUCAGAUGGAUGGUCUAAAUGUGAAAUCAAGACUAAUCAUCAGAAGUUUUAAGGCUUCUGUUAACUAGAAAGUUCAAACUAACAGAGAAGUACUGAGAAACUUUUAAAAUUUCAGUCCUCAGACUGUCGAAAGGUUCAAACUAACAGAGAACUACUCAGGAACUUAGAGGAUUUCAGUCCUUGGACUGUCUGAAGGUUCAAACUAACAGAGAACUACUGUGGGACUUAGAAAAUUUCAUCCCUCAGACUGUGUGAAAGCUCAGGUCCUGAGGACUCGGGAGGUGUGGAGGCUUUGGAAAGUCUUGGAACUGAAGGUUCCACCCUCCAGCACAAAGGCUGAAGUCCAACCUCCUGAGAAAAACGGUUGAGUCAAGACUCAAGUUAAAAAAAACCUCGAAAACGAAGAAAAAUAGAUGAUAAAUGCGCAAAAAAAAGAAGAAUUAGUAUCUGAGCGAAUAGCUCAGGGGAUAAGAAGACGGACUACCAAGUGGAAGGUCGCAGGUUCAAGACCCACCACCGGCAUUUUUCUUUCUUUGUCUUUGUCAGGAUUUUCAAAAAACUUAAGAAGGGUCUGGUCUUGAACCAGCGACCUGCAGCUCCAUAGGUAAAUCCUUAACUCACUGAGCUACAGAUCAGAUACAAAGAAAUAAAUUCGUCGUCCCUUUGGCAUCGUAGUUCCUUAAGUGACCACAUGGGUGGAGCCAAGGCGGAGUCUGGGUGGAGUCAGGGCGGA
ensembl:lncRNA